UUUUAUUGCAUUAUAUAGAAAAUGUAGUAUUCUAAAAUUUUAUCGUCUUGUUGCUCAUCGCUUUAGGUUUUCGUGCAGACCAAAAUUGAGCCAGAAGUUGUUUUGUUUUUUGAUUGCUCUAAAGAAGAGAUGGAGAGUCUCCUUUUGAGUAGGAACCAGGUUUGAUGAAUGGAACCUAUGUGUACAGUGCACGAGUUUGUGAUCUUUUUAGGUCAUUUUAUUUAUUUAUUUUUUCAUUUUUUCAUUAUGAAAAGGGAAGAGUAGAUGACAACAUUGAGACAAUUAGGAAGCAAUUUAAAGUUUUUCUAGAGUCUAGUAUCCCAGUGGUGGAGUAUUAAUGAAUCCAAGGGAAAAGUUGGGAAGGCAAUCUUUCUUUUAUAAUUCGUUUAUAUAUUAGUCGUAAUGUAAUAUUCACUUUUCAGCCAUUGAUAUUGUUGCUCUGAGCUGCAGAUUGAGGAGAUGUUAAAGCCAUUUUUGCCCCAAAGCAUGAGAAGGAUCAAUUCUGGCUGGCUGACCUGAAUUUCCUGGGCCUUGAAUGCAAUCUUAGUUUGUAGCAGGGGUAGUUUUUAUUCUGAGUAUGUAAGAGGUGGAAAAAUGAAUCUGGUGAAAUAUCUACUUGUUGCAAAUAUGCAUGAUGUGAGUACCAUUUAAGAUGUUUUGGGAUCUGCACUAUUGUGAAUUGUGAUUAGCAAAUAGCAAUGGGCAACAACCAUUGAAAAAUACAUAUUGCCUUUCUCUCACUGUUUUAGUAUAUUACUCAAUAUUAUUAGAACAUGUUGCUUCCUUUAUUAAAUUGUAAAUAAUCAAGUUUUAUGGCAUGCAAGGCAACAGCUAUGAGUUGUGUGAUGAGGAGUAUACCUCUUUAUUUCUGUUACUGCUGUAUUCUUUUAAUAAAGGAUAAUACAAAAACAAUAAUAAUAAUAUUUGGCAACAACUAGUGAUUGCUAUCAUCUCAUCUUUAGUCUGUAAAUGUAUAUAGAAGAGGGGUAGCUAGCUAUCUUCGGAGGAGGGAGCUAACGAGUAAUAAUUUAAGGUUGUCUGAAAAUAGUUUCAGAGACACAACUGAAAUAUUUAUUCUCUUUUAAUUAGUAGUAAUUCAAUUUUGCCCUACCAACUAUUCAUUGCUGCUGCAUUUUGUUGUUUAUUCAGCAGUAUUUGUUUGAUUGAACAUUAUGGGUAUAUAUUUCGGUACCUAUUUAUUUGUUGAUGUCAAACAGUUAGGUGGUAUAUCCAACCAAAAGUUAAUAGUGUUAUUUGUUUUUGCUAAGUGUUUGAAUAGCUGUAAUAAAUAGUUGCUAUUAUAAAGUACAAGUGCAGCAAAGAAGAAAAAUAUUAUAAUCCAAAGUAAUUGGAUUAACUGGUUAAUUAUAUGUUCUUGAUAUUAUUAUGCAUGGACAACAGAAAUAUUUGUAGAAUAAUACUAAUAAUUGUUAUAAUAAAGAGGUUUAAAGCCAUGGCGGAGACUGGCUUGCCAAAUUUUGUCCACAUCGAAGAUGGUGUUUCCGCACUCAUUCACAUUCCAUCCUUCCAGGCCAUGCACUAUUCCACCGGCCCUCCAUGCGCUCAUCACCCUUCUCGGCAGCCAAUUCUGUUUUUUGUUUUGUUUAUUAUUAUUAUUAUUAUAAAAGAAUGAAAUGUGAUUGUACGUACAACAAAGAAAGUGUAGGAAUUAAAUACCUCACAAGAGUCGACAUUUUCGAUUGAAGAAGGAGCAAUCAUGGCCGGAGUGGGAUAAUAAAAGCAGGCGUUUCUGAAUUUCUUGGGUGGAAAUUGGGACAAGGGGAUGAAUAAGGUUCCUUUGCUUGCCUUGUUUUGAUCCUCUUCGCUCAGCUUAUCGUCCACUAGCCACGUCUUAAGAUGAUAGUUUUUAGAGAGAAUCAGAUUAUUGGAGUGUUGUGUUCCAAUAGAGGCUUUAAGCUCCUCAUAGUCCUCCUUCAGGGUCGUUACCACCUGGAUGCCCUUCUUGCAGAGAGCAAAGGCAACAGCAAAAGCAACCUUGCUGAGGCUUCCCCGGAAAAGAAGCUGAGUUGUUCCUUUCGGAAUACUAUCCACCACUACUGCUGCCGCCAGACUGCUUCCGUCCACCACCUUUACUUUCAGACUCGGAUGCUUCUCUAUAUAUAUCUCUCCGUACCUAUUCAGUUCCUUCCCCUGCAUACAUAUUUAUGUUUAUGCAUUCAGUUGUUUAAUUAAUUAUCCUGUUAAUUAAUUUCAUGUUAAGAGAGAAAAAUACUUGCCUGAUUCAAAAGUCCAAGACUCAACACUUGCACUCCUUUUUCCUCUGCUUCCAGUAUGGAUUGUUCGAUCAUUUUAUUAAUCGAUACAUUCUGCCAUUUCAUGGAGUACUGUGUAUUGUAUUUUGGAAUCACCCAUGUUUGCAGUCUCAGUUUGUCGAAGCGGUGCCUCUGAAGAACAAAAGUGCGGCCACAAAUCCAAUUGAAGAUGAGAGUGGAGAGGGUGAAAGGCCACAAUAACCAGAGGUACCAUGUGGGAGAUUCCGGGACAGAGGCGAGUCGCGCAAAUCCCAGGCGGAGGUGAUAGAUGGAGUGGGGCGUGGUCAGGUGGGUAAGGUGCACCACAUGAGCCACUUCCUCUUGUCUCGUAAGUGAUUUAUGAUAGAGGGAAUCUGAAGAUUUGUCCACAGUACCGUAUAUGUAGUCGUACAUGGGCAUAAACAGAGAGUAGUUUGUUCUGAAUUGGGUGUGGUGAAGAGAAUGGAAUCUGCAUGAUAAAUAAAUUAAAUUAAUUAAAAUACCGGUGCAUGGUAAUGAAUUAUAAAAUGAAUGAAUGAAACUUACGAAGCGGUGUAGAAGAGGUACUUGAGAGGUGGAAAAAUAGAAAAAACGAAUUCAGGAAUGAACUCGAAAUUACAGUGGCCCAUAUUGUUCAUGAAAUCUAUGAAAGUGAUGUAACCAAAAUACGCGGCUACGGAGGCGGUUCCGGUAAACACCGUGGUCAGCAUUGGAAUAGCGAACAGUAUGAAA